rnacentral:rRNA from 1 species
GCUCAGGAUGAACGCUAGCUACAGGCUUAACACAUGCAAGUCGAGGGGUAGCAUGAUCUUAGCUUGCUAAGAUUGAUGGCGACCGGCGCACGGGUGAGUAACGCGUAUCCAACCUUCCCCCUACUCGGCAAUAGCCCGUCGAAAGGCGGAUUAAUGGCCGAUGCAGUUCAUUGAUGACAUCAGAUUUGAACGAAAGCCUUCUGGCGGUAUGGGAUGGGGAUGCGUCUGAUUAGGCAGCUGGCGGGGUAACGGCCCACCAAACCGACGAUCAGUAGGGGUUCUGAGAGGAAGGUCCCCCACAUUGGAACUGAGACACGGUCCAAACUCCUACGGGAGGCAGCAGUGAGGAAUAUUGGUCAAUGGGCGGAAGCCUGAACCAGCCAA